CUCUUAUUUUUAUUUUAUUUCAUCUUUUCCUUCCACCACUUUCUCAACAGCUUUGUCAGUGUCCAAAAACAUAGCUGCAUUUUCCAAUGCUGCCUCUUGCAGAUCGUCAUUCUCGUCUAACUCCUCCGUCGGCACUGGAUGAAUAGAGGCGCCGUAAAAUAUAAUCGAUCCCAUGCCAAUACAGGCUGAAAUCACACAUGCUGCCAUUGUACCAAUUGCCUUGCUAGUCCAGCCAGCUGGCAUUUCACCGGGAGGAGACGGUGCACCAGACAAAUCGGAAAUAUUCUUGUAGUUACCAGCACCAUUUCCGAUCGUUGGAACACCAUCCAACAUGCACUGCUCCUUCACAAAAUCAGGACUGGAGAUACUGGGUAUCAUCUCCGGUGCUUCAAUAAACGUAGCUAAUAAACCACUCUCCAUAUGCCAUUCAAUAUGGCAAUGAAUAACCCAGGCACCUGGGUUAUCGGCAAUGAAACGAAUGACAAUGAAACUUCCCGGUUCGAUUUCGACGGUGUCACGACGCAUUGGAUUGUCAUAGUAUGUGUGCGACUCUUGAUCCGAGUACAGUCCGGCAUUUUCUUCUCCACGCUCCAACACUUGAAAGGUGUGUCCGUG